UAUCCACUACAACACAACGAGUGCACUGUCAUUAUCUUUUAGCCACUUUCUAUACAACACACCAUACUGAAUUUUGAAUUGCAAUUUGUGCUGCUAUGGUCUUUGUUUUCAGUAUGGUGUAGAAGGACAGACGAGCUUGUUGAUGGCUUGGUUUUCAUGUUCAUUUGGCUAGGUUUUGAAAGCCAUUGGAGUAGACCCCAUCAAGGGGUUUAUAGAUUUUCAGGUGGUGGAAAAUGCAAAAAUCUAGGCAGAAACGGUGGCAGCCAUGAUACGAUUGGAUAUG